AACGAAUGCUGGCGGCAGGCUUAACACAUGCAAGUCGAGCGCCCCGCAAGGGGAGCGGCAGACGGGUGAGUAACGCGUGGGAAUCUACCCAUCUCUACGGAAUAACGCAUGGAAACAUGUGCUAAUACCGUAUACGUCCUUCGGGAGAAAGAUUUAUCGGAGAUGGAUGAGCCCGCGUUGGAUUAGCUAGUUGGUGGGGUAAAGGCCUACCAAGGCGACGAUCCAUAGCUGGUCUGAGAGGAUGAUCAGCCACACUGGGACUGAGACACGGCCCAGACUCCUACGGGAGGCAGCAGUGGGGAAUAUUGGACAAUGGGCGCAAGCCUGAUCCAGCCAUGCCGCGUGAGUGAUGAAGGCCCUAGGGUUGUAAAGCUCUUUCACCGGUGAAGAUAAUGACGGUAACCGGAGAAGAAGCCCCGGCUAACUUCGUGCCAGCCGCCGCAGUAAAAC
rnacentral:rRNA from 1 species